ensembl:snoRNA
AUGGGACUGAAUCAAGGCCAGCAUCUUCCUGACGCUGUUGGUUUCAAGCAGGAGUCUAAAGAGAUGUCUUUCUAUGAUCUGUUGGCCAUUUCAGAAUGGCCAUUAGAAAGAAACAGCU